GCGUCGGUGGUGCAACGGUUAGCAUACGCCCCCAGGAAAGAGUGAGAUCUGAGUUCGAAUAUCGGCUGAUGCA